AUGUGUGAUGGAAACAAAACUUACAGUGCUCUGUGUGACUUGGGCUCAAGUGUUAGUGUGUUACCACAUUCAUUUAGCAAAAGGAUGUUCUUGGGAGAAUUAAAUCCAACAGCCAUAACUCUUCAGUUAGCCGACAGAACAUAUAGGCAACCUGUUGGAAUUAUUAAGGAUGUUCCAAUCAAAAUUGGGAAGUUUGCUUAUCCGGUUGACUUUGUAGUGCUAGAUAUGGAGGACAAGAGUGAGGCUACGAUUCUUGGAAGACCAUUUUUGGCCACAACUGGUGCACUUAUUGAUGUCCAAGAAGCUAAAUUGAGCCUGAGGUUCGGAAAUGAAAAGGUGGAGUUUGACAUGAAG
rnacentral:rRNA from 1 species